CCCCCUUGUGGGUUUUGUUUUCCCUUUUUGUCAGUAAUAAACCUUGUGUGUAGUGCAUCCUGUCUGCGCUUGAGUUCAUCCCCGUAUCCUCGUGACAGGUGACCGGUGUGCCAGUAAUCAGCCUGAGAGCAGGAACAAUAAGGUGACUGGUCCUCUGAUGGUGAAGCCCAGGUAGAAAGACAUGUGGCCUGGUUUGCACACACUGGACGGAUUGUGAGUAGUGACUGGAAUCUGUUGUCCAUCUCUAACAGCAAACACUCUGUCAUCAUCGACCUCCAUGUAAUUCUUGACUUCCCCGUUGAUACGCUGAAGACAUUCGACGUCUGCAUGUUCAUGUCCUUCAGUGAGGAGCUCCAGAUCAUAUUGAUGUA